UACGAAGGGGGGCUAGCGUUGUUCGGAAUUACUGGGCGUAAAGCGCACGUAGGCGGACUAUUAAGUCAGGGGUGAAAUCCCGGGGCUCAACCCCGGAACUGCCUUUGAUACUGGUAGUCUCGAGUCCGGAAGAGGUGAGUGGAAUUCCGAGUGUAGAGGUGAAAUUCGUAGAUAUUCGGAGGAACACCAGUGGCGAAGGCGGCUCACUGGUCCGGUACUGACGCUGAGGUGCGAAAGCGUGGGGAGCAAACAGG
rnacentral:rRNA from 1 species